GACGAACGCUGGCGGCGUGCUUAACACAUGCAAGUCGAACGGAAAGGCCCUGCUUUUGUGGGGUGCUCGAGUGGCGAACGGGUGAGUAACACGUGAGUAACCUGCCCUUGACUUUGGGAUAACUUCAGGAAACUGGGGCUAAUACCGGAUAGGAGCUCCUGCUGCAUGGUGGGGGUUGGAAAGUUUCGGCGGUUGGGGAUGGAUUCGCGGCUUAUCAGCUUGUUGGUGGGGUAGUGGCUUACCAAGGCUUUGACGGGUAGCCGGCCUGGGAGGGUGACCGGCGACAUUGGGACUGAGAUACGGCCCAGAGGCCUACGGGAGGCAGCAGUGGGGAAUAUGGCACAAUGGGCGGAAGCCUGAUGCAGCAGCGUCGCGUGCGGGAUGACGGCCUUCGGGUUGUGAACCGCUGUCGCCUGUGACGAAGCGGGAGUGACGGUAAUGGGUAAAGAAGCACCGGCUAACUACGUG
rnacentral:rRNA from 1 species